UACGGGGGGGGCAAGCGUUGUUCGGAAUUACUGGGCGUAAAGGGCUCGUAGGCGGCCAACUAAGUCGGAUGUGAAAUCCCCAGGCUUAACCUGGGAACUGCAUCCGAUACUGGAUGGCUUGAAUCCGGGAGAGGGAUGCAGAAUUCCAGGUGUAGCGGUGAAAUGACGCAGAUAUCAGGAAGAACACCCGUGGCGAAGGCGGCUCUCUGGGACGGUACUGACGCUGAGACGCGAAAGCGUGGGGAGCGAACAGG
rnacentral:rRNA from 1 species